rnacentral:rRNA from 1 species
GAUGAACGCUGGCGGCGUGCCUAAUACAUGCAAGUCGAGCGAACGGACGAGAAGCUUGCUUCUCUGAUGUUAGCGGCGGACGGGUGAGUAACACGUGGAUAACCUACCUAUAAGACUGGGAUAACUUCGGGAAACCGGAGCUAAUACCGGAUAAUAUUUUGAACCGCAUGGUUCAAAAGUAAAAGACGGUCUUGCUGUCACUUAUAGAUGGAUCCGCGCUGCAUUAGCUAGUUGGUAAGGUAAUGGCUUACCAAGGCAACGAUGCAUAGCCGACCUGAGAGGGUGAUCGGCCACACUGGAACUGAGACACGGUCCAGACUCCUACGGGAGGCAGCAGUAGGGAAUCUUCCGCAAUGGGCGAAAGCCUGACGGAGCAACGCCGCGUGAGUGAUGAAGGUCUUCGGAUCGUAAAACUCUGUUAUUAGGGAAGAACAUAUGUGUAAGUAACUGUGCACAUCUUGACGGUACCUAAUCAGAAAGCCACGGCUAACUACGUG